AUAGGAGGGGAGGGGGAGGGACCAGCCCACCCGCGUAGCAGCCCCAUUACUGGGCCCCCCUUCCACCAGGGAAUGUUCGAUACAGGUCGCAGGUUUCGCGUGCCUUCUCCGAUCCGUGGGCUCACCGCCUCACGUGUGGGUACGUCACCCCAGCGCCACCUUGGUACAAGUGGAAGGAAAGCAUAACCGCCAACAAGCCAGCCGGGCGUGGGGCAUCCGGUCCCCUAAUUUAAUCGACGCCCGCGCGUU
rnacentral:lncRNA from 1 species